GGCUGGGCACCUACUCACAGGCAGUGGGAGUGUGGCGGGGGGGGAGGGGAUGGAAGAAUCAACCCCCAAGAUCCCCUCAUCCUAAACCUUGGGCCCUGUGCCCAUGUUAGGCUACAGAGCAAAGGAAAUUAGGGUGCUGAUGGGAUUCAAGUCGUGAGCUGGCCGGCCUUAAUAUCCUGCACUACCAGAUGGGCCCAGUGUGAUCCGAGUCCUUAACUGUGUUAGAGGAAAGCAGAGGAGUCAGUCAGAGGAAGACAAGCCCCAAAAGAUGCAACAUUCUUGACUCCGGACGUGGAGGAAGGAGCCACAGCCCAAGGUGGCCUCCUGAAACUGGAACAGAGCGAUGUCAGAAAUCCAUCCUGAGUUCAUGAAGUUUUGCCUCUCCGAAAAAGCAAAGGACAGCUGUGAAGGUUAAAUAAGAUAAUACCUGCAAAGCACACUGCACAACAGAACAAUCCAUAUAAG